AUAUCUCAGAUAAAGGCUGUGCUGCUCUGACCUCAGCUCUGAGAUCAAACCCCUCACACCUGAGAGAACUGGAUCUGUCUGAGAAUAAACUCAGCCACUCAGGAGUGAAGCGUCUCUCUGCUGUACUGGAGAAUCCUGACUGUAAACUGGAGACACUGAGGUUGCGUUAUUGUGAUAUCUCAGAAAAAGGCUGUGCUGCUCUGACUUCAGCUCUGAGAUCAAACCCCUCCCACCUGAGAAAACUGGAUCUGUCUUGGAAUGAACUCAGAGACUCAGGAGUGAAGUGUCUCUCUGCUGUACUGGAGAAUCCUCACUGUAAACUGGAGACACUGAGGUUGCGUGACUGUGAUAUCUCAGAUGAAGGCUGUUCUGCUCUGACUUCAGCUCUGAGAUCAAACCCCUCACACCUGAGAGAACUGGAUCUGUCUUGGAAUAAACUCAGAGACUCAGAAAAGGAGCAGCUCUUCAGUCUUAAACUACAGGACUUGAGGGUGUGAAGAAUUUUCAUCUGAUGCAGACUCCAGAGAAGAUGUUUUUAAUGAAAUGUGCUCGACUCUUAGCGGCAUUUCCUGGACUUUUUUUUCUCACACUGGGAAAUAAUCUGAAUUAAAUGUAAUACAUUUCCACAAAGUGUAAGUGCAGACAGUGUGUCAGUGAUGUACAGAACCAUUUCAUUUAUAAGAUAUAUUACAGAGAUUAAGAGAGAGAAAGGGGGAUUAUGGGAUGAUUAAUGUCUGUACAUCAGAAAUAUGUGUGAAAUACUUGUUUCAGACUCGAAAACAGAGAAAAAGAAGAAGCUUCUCCAUUUUCCUAUGCCCAAAUUUUCUGGACUAGUUUAAGGUCUUUGUGGUUUUUGAGAUGUAGUUGGAAUGGACAUUUUGCUGUAACCUCUAAACCCUGGUUAAUAAUAUGACACAGUUGAAGGUAAAGUCUAAACCCACUUGUAACAAGCUGCGAGACUGUACGCUGGAUGACUGUAAAUUGUCGACUCUCAACUGCCUUUUAUGGAGUUGCUGUAAAAAUUCACUAGAUAGUCGUCUAGAGCAUAAGUCAAGUGUGAUAGCCUCUCCACUUGAUUUUCUCUGCGGCUAUGUUGUUGUUGUUAAUGUCGGCCAGCUCCACUAAAAUCUAUGGUCAAGAGCUGCUGCUGCGUGUAGCUGUGAUUCUUCAUGCAUCAUAGGACUUUACAGAGUGGUGUUGCAGCGCUACUAUCAGCAAUAAGCACUUACUGAAGCUCAAUUAAUUAUUUUUAUUAUUACACAAUUCCACAGUUAUACACUACAGAAUCCGGACAUCAUGGCAGAACUCAAGUUCUGGUUAAGGUUUUAGUUGCUCUGGUCUUCACUUCAGCCCAUGUCUUCCACCAUUCUACCCCUCUAUCACAUCAUCUGGUUGGAAGACUCUGAAAGAGAUCACCAUGGCUGAAGCAGUGACUAUUUACUCAACAUGCGAAUGCUACUCUGUUAUCUUUCCUGUAAACACUGCUUGUUUGUUUUUGUAACUUUCUGAAGAUAUCUCAUUGCUGUGACUGACAUUUGUUAUACAGUCUCCUCCGAAAGUACUGGAACAGCAAGGCCAAUUCUUUUUUUUUUUUUUUUUUUUUUUUUUUUUCUUUUCUAUACACUGAAGAUGUUUGGGUUUGAGAUCAAAAAAAUUAAUGAGAUGAUAGAUGAGAAUUUCAGCUUUCACUUCCUGAUAUUUAAAACUAGAUGUGUUAAACAACUUAGAACAUAGCACCACCCAAUUUUUGGUGAGCAAAAGUAUUAGAACAGAUAAUCUUAGAAUAAAUAACAUGUAAUAUUUGGUUGCGUAUCCCUUGCUUGCAUCAAUUGAAUCAAGCAGGUGACCCACUGACAUCAUCAAACUGUCGCAUUCUUUUUUUAAUACUUUUCCAGGCUUGUACUGAAGCUUAUUUCAGAUAUUGUUUGUUUUGGGGGGUUUCUCUCUUUAGUCUCCUCUUCAGGAGGUGAAAUGCAGCUCAGUGGGAUUAAGAUCUGGUGAUUGACUUCGUCAGUCUAAAACCUUCCACUUUUUCCCCUGAUGAAGUCCAUUGUUGUCUCCCCCAAUUGUUUUUGUUUAUGAUAAAUAUAUUUUAGAGGAGUUAUUUGAUCAUUAAUAAAAGGGUGUGGUGGAUGAGGUGCUUGACAGUUUUGGACAUGACAAUCAAGCCUAAUUAACACGCAUGCACUUUCCAACACAUACCUGAAGUUCUUGACAGUUCUGUAACAAAGCCAUGUCUUGUUCUGCUAUAAACUCAUAUCCUGCAGAGCAUCUCAAAAAAUAGUUUGUGUUGAGCGUAAAUGUUGACUGUAUUUACAUUUUCAGUCACAUUAGCUACUUACAUUUACAUCACUUUGAUUAAAAUGAUGUAUAAUGAGCUAGCUAGCCAAUUGUAGCUCAGUCAGUCAUGACUCAAAGCUCUAAAAUCUUUUCCCGACAUCAGUAAAAUCAAUAUACCUGUGAAAAUUACACAUUCAUCAUUUUACAUAUAAAUUAAUAACACUGUGCUUAUCACAAUAAGUUUGCCAAUGCACCAUUUUUAGUUGCACUUUAGGUAAUGAAUUGUGAAUGUGUAUUUAUGAAUGUCCAUCACUAAGGUGGGCAGGCGAGAGGCAGGUAAGAUGGGCAGUGUGUAAUGCCUGACUGUGUUGCGACUGGACCAAUCACUGAUUAUUAUUGUUUCCAGCAACCAAUCACUGACAACCACUAUUUCUCCCACCAUCGCCCUUUUUUGUUCGUUUUAAGCUAUCUUCCUGGAUAUCGUAAUAAAAGCGAGUAACUGUUUCCUUACUACUUACCUUUCAAGACUACUCUAAUGUCAUGACCUCUUUUUGUGUGGUAUUUUGUACAAAUGUAAAAGUUUAUUUCAAGAAAUAAAGAAAUAACUGUAA